rnacentral:misc_RNA from 1 species
GAAAUGCGAUACGUAAUGUGAAUUGCAGAAUUCAGUGAAUCAUCGAAUCUUUGAACGCACCUUGCACUCUUUGGUAUUCCGAAGAGUACGCCUGUUCGAGUAUCGUGAAAUUCUCAAGCUGGAUAGCUUUAUUGUCUGUCUCAGUUUGGAUUUGGACUUUGCCGUCUCGCUUUGAUUAGUGAACGGCUGGUCUUAAAAGUAUUAGCUGACCCUUGUUUUGUGGGAUUGGUUCUUACUCAACGUGAUAAGUUUUAUGAUCGUUGAGGACAUCUGGCUUUUUUAGCUGGAUGGCCAGUGCUGCCUUGGAUCGCUUCUAAUCCAGGCAUUCAGAGUCCGUCUCUGAAUCCAUUUUUCACUUUCAACUUUGAUCUCGAAUCAGGUGGGACUACCCGCUGAACUUAA